GGCAUGAAAAUACCUAAUUGCCCUUGUGUGAGAAAUGGGUACGAAAUUAAUCGCAGAAUCACCUUAGCAAUGCGAUUAUUAGAUGUAGGUUUGAAUGGUAUAGAACAGUUUUAUGCCUUCAUGGAAUUGCCGCGGCCGAUAUACCAUUCCUUUUAUAAUAAACUUGUCAAAGCAAUUGCUGUAGCAAAGAAAACUGUGCGUACUGUCCGUAUCUGUGCGUAGGAAAGCUGAAGAGGAGGGAAAUCUUGCCUUAGAAGGCCAACUUUAUGGAGCUGGCAUAGCAGACUAAAGGUAAAAAAUUGUGGACGCCAAAUGUCACGCCGUGGAACGCCUCGGAAAAAGGUGAAAAAGGCAAAUAGGAGUUGUCGGCCAUUUUGCAUAAGAAAAUGAAUAAAGAAAACUAUUUUUGAUACUUUGAUACAUACACUAAAUAUGUUAUCGUAUACCUGUAAUUAGUUUUGUAAAUAAAUUACUUUUUUAUACAACAAAAAAA